UACAGCCGUUUCACCUUUAAAACACUAGUUCACGCCUGAUCACAGAAGUUAAGCCAUGUUUAGCCUGGUAGGCACACAGAUGGGUGUCCACCGGGGAAUACCAAGUAAUGUAA